rnacentral:rRNA from 1 species
ACGCUCGACACCUACAGGAGGCAGCAGUGGGGAAUAUUGGGCAAUGGGGGAAACCCUGACCCAGCAACGCCGCGUGGAGGAAGAAGGUCUUCGGAUUGUAAACUCCUGUCCUUAGGGAAGAAACAAAUGACGGUACCUGAGGAGGAAGCUCCGGCUAACUACGUGCUAGCAGCCGCGGUAAUCUGAGCGGGCUGGCAAGGC